GAACUUUUUAAAGGCCAUCUGGCUGCAGUAUCCGACACCCCAUCGAUCGAAAGGAUCAAAGCUAAAGAUCUGGCUGGUUAGAAGGGCGUCCCUCUCCUCCCUGACUCCUCCAAAUGCAUCCAUUCCAGAGUGGCACGCUUAGUCAAAGAGGAUGGCCUUCACACCAGAGGAGUACUAGCCGUUGGCCAAGGGUAUGUGAACCUCCAAAGAAGCUCUCAAGUACUCCCAAGCAUGUAGCACUCCAUCCUGAAGGAGGGUUUGCUGGGUGUACUUCCAGCCGGGGACACAGUGAGA
ensembl:misc_RNA